GUCUGGACUGAAAGGCAUUGAGCUGACAUGUUAUCCUGGUGGAUGUGAACUUUUGCCAACUGAUUUCUUUCAAAUUUUAAUCAAUCUGGAGAAACUUGUUUUGAGAGAUGCUUCAUUUGAAGCAGAAACAUUUCAUGAAGCAAACAUUGGUGAGCAAGUACAUCCCGAAUCAUGUAAGGUGCCAAUGCUCAAGCAUCUGAUGGAGAAAGACUCCCAGCAAGUCCCAGCUUCUCAAUAUCUGGAGACAGAAGCAAUGGAUUGUGGCAGACUGAAAAUUUUACAGCCAUUCACGGUUUCUUUCGAAAAUUUAACAACUCUGGAGGUAUCAAAUUGCCAAGGUCUAAUAAAUCUAAUGACUUCAAUUACAUCUAGAAGUCUUGUGCAACUUAGAAGAAUGAAGGUAGAGAAAUGUGAAAUGAUGCAAGAAAUUGUAGCGAGUGAAACAGAUGAUGAAGAAGAAGAGAUUUGCUUCAGUCAACUACAAUAUUUGGAGCUUCAUGAUCUACCACGCCUCACAAGCUUUUGCUCUGGUAAUCCUGCCUUCAAUUUCCCAUCCUUGGAGGAAGUGAUCAUUAGAGCAUGUCCCAAUAUGAAGAUUUUUGCUAAAGAAGUUUUAAGCACUCCAAAGCUAUGGCGAGUUCAAACCGGAAAACAUAAAUAUGAGUGGGAAUGGGAAGGCAGCAUCAAUAACACCAUUGAAGCAUUAUUUGCACAUACGAAUGCUGAAGAAAUAGGGGAGGCCAGCGUUCAUAUGCGUGAGCUCCAAUGAGGCUGAUGUUGCAUGUAAUUUGUGACAGAUUAUACUUAAUUUUCCGUUUGAGGGUACAUGGUGAAUUGGUUCUCUUAUGGCUGAAGUCUUUCAUUCAUGUAUAAUAAAUGUUCCCAAACUGCUAAGUUCUUGAUAGCACAAGAAUCGGUUUCUAAUGUGCUUCAAAUUUAACACUGAUGAUUUUUUUGUUUUUUCAAUUUUUUAUUCAUGAAACAUUUCGUUCUGUUUUCAUGAUCAUUAAAAACUGUGACUCACAGGAGGAAGUGUUAGAUAUGGAAGAUGAAGAUCAGCAAAGGCAUGCCAAUGUACUGGACAUGGCAGGGCUGGGAUGGUUGUAUUUAUGCUCUGGCUCUUGAAAGAGUUCCGGCCUCUUCAAGAAUUCCAUGUGGAAACCCUGUUCUUGUUAAUCAAGUUCGGUGCAGCUUCUAUUCCUGUACUCAAACUCAAAUUUCAAUCUCUCUCUUGGAAAUGGAAAAACAGAAAUUGUGGGAUAACAGAAAACAGGCGAUUUAUGCUUACUUACAAUCCUGAAAAUUAACUUGCAUCAGUUUUGUUCUAAGAUGCUAGCAGUGUAAAUUAGAAGCAGCCCAAAGCCAUAGAAUUGUAGUAAUUGCUAUGCAGUUUACGCUAUCAGAAAUUUCAUCUUUUUAAACAUCCCUGACUAAAUUGUGAAUUACCCUAUUAUUAUUAUUAUUAUCUAGGACGUUUGUUUUGUUUUGUUUUGAUAUUAGCAAAUGUAGCCGGCCGCUCUAUUAAGUAGUCCCCAUUUGCAUACAAGUUUCCCAAGAAUAGGGAAAUGACAGGAUUUGUAACUUUGACAAAUGAGCUUGUAGCAGCACUGUAUAUUUUGCACUUAUUUUAGGAAAACACAACACUUUCUUUUCGGCUGCAGGGAUUUAUAACCCAACUGAGAUGUAAUUCGUAACUCUAAUGUGCUUUGAAGUCUUCUUGAUAAG
rnacentral:misc_RNA from 1 species